rnacentral:tmRNA from 1 species
ACCACGAACGCUAUCUUGUGAUACAGGUCGAGAGUGAGUCGCCUCUCGCAAAUCAACGGCUCAAAAUGAGUACAUGCGAACAACAUCGUACCUUUUGCUCGUAAGGCAGCUGCUGUUGCCUAACAACCUCUCAUAGGUUCGAGCGUCUGUAGUUCGACUCCGUUAAGGGCUACGGACUUAACCCCAACGGAUGCUCCAGUUGAUUGCCUCUGGUCAAUCACUGGCUAAGACUUUACCAGAGCAUCCCACCGUUCGGGAUAAGGAACGGUUCCCGCUUCGAGGAUUAGAGAAGCUAAACCUGUGAACGAGCGAGAUACUAAUAACUAGGACGGACACGGGUUCGACUCCCGUC